CUUAAUAUUUGAUAAAUUAAAUGAUAAUUUGUUUGUUAUAUUUUAUCUGGCUUAAAAAUUGCAACUAAUAAAUAGUAAAAUAUUUUUAAGUUAAAAAAUCUUUCAUAAUUCAAUGAUUUUUAGAACUUUAUAGAGUUAAAGAAGAGAAACAAACUUAAUAUAAAGGAUUACAAUUACGUUAUUUUGAAGAACGUUGCAUGAUGCAAUUAGCAUAAACAUACGAAGUUACGGAUAUGCGGCGUGAACUGCAUAAGAUAGUUCAGAAACUGCAAAAGACUGUAGAAAAGCAGAAAUUGAAGAUCGAAAAUAUAAAUAAUUGUUAUGAAGAACGGUUAAAUGAAAAAAUUAAAGUAUUAAUAGGAUAGUGUUAUGUAAUUAAAUUAAUACAUUAUAAAAUAUUUUUCUAUUAAAAAUAUUUUAUUUAAUUCAAUACUUUCUAGAACUGUAUAGAGCUGAAGAAGAGGAAAAAGCAUCUAAAAAAUUAAAAGUAUAUCAAGCAUACACAUUUUGAAUGAUUUAAUGAACAAUUACCUUAUUGAUGUUAUUACAACGACGCGUUACUUAACGUUUUUCACACAGUGAGGUUUUAUUCAAGAAAACUACCCACACAUCCAAACAUUUGAAAACACUUACCGAAGUUGUGUGUUACAAAGUUUUGAUAAGAAAAAUAUUAAACAAAAGUCAAUACGCUAUAUGCGCACAGUUCCAUUUGUGAAAACACCAUGGGAUGCGAACUUCACGAAGUCACGACACGGUAUAAUUUUACACA